GACGAACGCUGGCGGCGUGCUUAACACAUGCAAGUCGAACGGAAAGGCCCUGCGUUUGUGGGGUGAUCGAGGGGCGAACGGGUGAGUAACAGGUGAGUAACCGGCCCUUGACUUUGGGAGAAGUUAAGGAAAGGGGGGCUAAGACAGGACAGGAGCUGCUGCAGGGGGGAGGGGGGGGGAAAGUUGGGGCGGUUGGGGCUGGAUUAGCGGAUGAUGGGCUUGUUGGUGGGGUAGUGGCUGACCAAGGAUUUGAAGGGUAGCCGGCCUGAGAGGGUGAACGGCCACCUUGGUACUGAGAUACGGCCCAGACUCCUACGGGAGGCAGCAGUGGGGAAUCUUGCCCAAUGGGCGGAAGCCUGAUGCAGCAACGCCGCGUUCGGGAUGCCGGCCUUCUGGUUGUAAACCGCUUUCGCCUGUUACGCCGCGUUAGUGACGGUAAUGGGUAAAGAAGCACCGGCUAACUACGUG
rnacentral:rRNA from 1 species